rnacentral:rRNA from 1 species
ACGAACGCUGGCGGUGUGCCUCACACAUGCAAGUCGAACGGGGUAGCAAUACCCAGUGGCGGACGGGUGAGUAACGCGUGGGAAUCUGCCCUAGGGUGGGGGAUAACAAGCCGAAAGGCCUGCUAAUACCUCAUGUGCCGUAAGGUGAAAGGAGUAAUCCGCCCGAGGAUGAGCCCGCGUCCGAUUAGCUAGUUGGUAAGGUAAAAGCUUACCAAGGCUCUGAUCGGUAGCUGGUCUGAGAGGAUGAUCAGCCACAAUGGGACUGAGACACGGCCCAUACUCCUACGGGAGGCAGCAGUGGGGAAUUUUACGCAAUGGGGGAAACCCUGACGUAGCGACACCGCGUGAGCGAAGAAGCCCUUUGGGGUGUAAAGCUCUGUCAGCAGGAACGAAAAAAAUGACGGUACCUGCAGAGGAAGCAUCGGCUAACUACGU